rnacentral:rRNA from 1 species
UACGGGGGGGGUAAGCGUUGUUCGGAAUUACUGGGCGUAAAGGGCUCGUAGGCGGCCAACUAAGUCAUACGUGAAAUCCCUCAGCUUAACUGGGGAACUGCGUGUGAUACUGGAUGGCUUGGAUUUGGGAGAGGGAUGCGGAAUUCCAGGUGUAGUGGUGAAAUGCGUAGAUAUCUGGAGGAACACCGGUGGCGAAGGCGGCAUCCUGGACCAAUAUUGACGCUGAGGAGCGAAAGCCAGGGGAGCAAACGGG